rnacentral:lncRNA from 1 species
AUCAGUUCGCAAUCAUGGUUAAUUAUGGCGUUGUGUUGCUGUUGGGUGUUGUAUCGUUGAUGUCGACCACGAGAGAAAAUCUUUUAAAAGGAAAGAAAAAGGGCAACGGAAGUCAAUCGAGUGAUCAUCUCCGACCCGGCAACACCUGCAUUCUUCGUCGUAUUAUCAGGUCACAAUCGCGGUCUGGUUAACUAUGCUGUCGUGCUGCUAUUGGUUGUUGUAUCGUCGAUGGCUGGGUCGACCACUGUUGUACCAAUGUCUCCUGGAUAAGGCGGAUACCAAACCGCAACGCCGCCGCCAAACUACACAACAACAUACGCAACGGCCAGUUACUACACCGAGGUUGCACUGUUGGGUUUACAGUUAAACCACCAAGGAUCCAGAUUAUUACACCACAACUUGUGCUGCUCCCCAAGCUACACCACCAAAGCGCUAGAGUACUACACCGAG